rnacentral:rRNA from 1 species
AUUGAACGCUGGCGGCAGGCCUAACACAUGCAAGUCGAGCGGUAGAGAGGUGCUUGCAUCUCUUGAGAGCGGCGGACGGGUGAGUAAUGCCUAGGAAUCUGCCUAGUGGUGGGGGAUAACGUUCGGAAACGGACGCUAAUACCGCAUACGUCCUACGGGAGAAAGCGGGGGAUCUUCGGACCUCGCGCCAUUAGAUGAGCCUAGGUCGGAUUAGCUAGUUGGUGAGGUAAUGGCUCACCAAGGCGACGAUCCGUAACUGGUCUGAGAGGAUGAUCAGUCACACUGGAACUGAGACGCGGUCCAGACUCCUACGGGAGGCAGCAGUGGGGAAUAUUGGACAAUGGGCGAAAGCCUGAUCCAGCCAUGCCGCGUGUGUGAAGAAGGUCUUCGGAUUGUAAAGCACUUUAAGUUGGGAGGAAGGGCAGUAAGUUAAUACCUUGCGUGUUUUGACGUUACCAACAGAAUAAGCACCGGCUAACUUCGUGCCAG